rnacentral:rRNA from 1 species
CACGGGGGGAGCAAGCGUUGUUCGGAAUCACUGGGCGUAAAGGGCGCGUAGGCGGCGUGUCAAGUCAAUUGUGAAAUCUCCGGGCUUAACUCGGAACGGUCAAUUGAUACUGAUGUGCUAGAGUGCAGAAGGGGCAAUCGGAAUUCUUGGUGUAGCGGUGAAAUGCGUAGAUAUCAAGAGGAACACCUGAGGUGAAGACGGGUUGCUGGGCUGACACUGACGCUGAGGCGCGAAAGCUAGGGUAGCAAACGGG